AUUGAACGCUGGCGGCAGGCUUAACACAUGCAAGUCGAGCGGGGUGAUGGUGCUUGCACUAUCACUUAGCGGCGGACGGGUGAGUAAUGCUUAGGAAUCUGCCUAUUAGUGGGGGACAACAUCUCGAAAGGGAUGCUAAUACCGCAUACGUCCUACGGGAGAAAGCAGGGGAUCACUUGUGACCUUGCGCUAAUAGAUGAGCCUAAGUCGGAUUAGCUAGUUGGUGAGGUAAAGGCCUACCAAGGCGACGAUCUGUAGCGGGUCUGAGAGGAUGAUCUGCCACACUGGGACUGAGACACGGCCCAGACUCCUACGGGAGGCAGCAGUGGGGAAUAUUGGACAAUGGGGGGAACCCUGAUCCAGCCAUGCCGCGUGUGUGAAGAAGGCCUUAUGGUUGUAAAGCACUUUAAGCGAGGAGGAGGCUCUUUUGGUUAAUACCCAAGAUGAGUGGACGUUACUCGCAGAAUAAGCACCGGCUAACUCUGUGCCAGCCGCCGCCGUAA
rnacentral:rRNA from 1 species